rnacentral:rRNA from 1 species
UAGGGAAUCUUCGGCGAUGGGGGGAACCCUGACCGAGCAACGCCGCGUGAGUGAAGAAGGUUUUCGGAUCGUAAAGCUCUGUUGUUAAGGAAGAACGAGUGUGAGAAUGGAAAGUUCAUGCUGUGACGGUACUUAACCAGAAAGGGACGGCUAACUACGUGCCAGCAGCCGCGGUAAUACGUAGGUCCCGAGCGUUGUCCGGAUUUAUUGGGCGUAAAGCGAGCGCAGGCGGUUAGAAAAGUCUGAAGUGAAAGGCAGUGGCUCAACCAUUGUAGGCUUUGGAAACUGUUUAACUUGAGUGCAGAAGGGGAGAGUGGAAUUCCAUGUGUAGCGGUGAAAUGCGUAGAUAUAUGGAGGAACACCGGUGGCGAAAGCGGCUCUCUGGUCUGUAACUGACGCUGAGGCUCGAAAGCGUGGGGAGCGAACAGG